AGGCUGCGGUUUAAUUAGAUCCAACGCAGAGCACUCUACCAGAGCCGACAGCAGAAUGACGGUCAGCUUGAAGAGCUUACCUGACGCGCUGAGAGGAGCUGCAUGGCCGCCGUCAGCUCGUGCCGUGAGGUGUCCGGUUAAGUCCGGUAACGAGCGAGACCCGUAUCCCAUGUUGCGAUGGAUCCAUUAACGGGAUUCAGCACUCGUGGGAGACCGCUGGCGAUAAGCCAGGGGAAGGAGCGGGCCACGGUAGGUCAGUAUGGCCCGAAUGCUCUGGGAUACACGCGGCCCACAAUGGCCGAUACAAAGGGACGCCACCCCGAGAGGGGAAGCUAAUCCCCUAAAAUCGGUCCUAGUCCGGAUCGAGGCCUGCAACUCGGCCUCGUGAAGGCGAAAUCGGUAGUAGUCGCUGGUCACUAUCUAGCGGCGAAUAAGUCCCUGCUCCUUGUACACACCGCCUGUCAAGUCACCCGAGUCAGGUUCAGACGAGGACCUCGCCUAGCGAGGGAC
rnacentral:rRNA from 1 species